GAUGUACUCCCUCCGUCCGGAAAUACUUGUCAUCAAAAUGUAUAAAAGGGAUGUAUCUAGAUGUAUUUUAGUUCUAGAUACAUCUCUUUUUAUCCAUUUUGAUGACAAGUAUUUUCGGAAGGAUGGAGUACCUA
rfam:Triticum aestivum genome assembly, contig: Triticum_aestivum_CS42_TGACv1_scaffold_580820_7BL